rnacentral:misc_RNA from 1 species
CGGUGUUGUUCCGCCGUCACC